rnacentral:rRNA from 1 species
AGGCCGUAAACCCAAGGUUUCCAGGGGAAGGUUCGUCCGCCCUGGGUUAGUCGGGACCUAAGCUGAGGCCGAAAGGCGUAGGUGAUGGACAACAGGUUGAUAUUCCUGUACUACCGAUAACCGUUUGAGAGAAGGGAUGACACAGUAGGAUAAGCUAAGCACACUGUUGGUUAUGUGUGCCCAAGCAUUGAGGCAGUCAAAGUAGGCAAAUCCGCUUUGAUAAUGCUGGGAUGUGAUGGGGAGCGAAAUUUAGUAGCGAAGUAGCUGAUUUCACACUGUCAAGAAAAGUCUCUAUCGAGGUUAAAGGUACCCGUACCGCAAACCGACACAGGUGGGUGAGGAGAGUAUCCUAAGGCCAGCGAGAGAACUGUUGUUAAGGAACUCGGCAAAAUGACCCCGUAACUUAGGGAUAAGGGGUGCCACCAUCA